rnacentral:rRNA from 1 species
AUGCAUGCAUUCAUGAUCGAUCGCGUCGUGUCUUCGCCGUGGAGGUGCGCAAGGAGAGCGCUGGGACCGCCCGUCCAGACCGGAACCCAUGGCGCCGCCGCCGCAGCGGCCGCCUCUGCGGCCAUCCACGCGAACGCGUCCCCGACCACGCAGGUUACCCUGGUGCCGCCCGCGGAGGCGCGAGCCGUCUCCAGCGCCUCCCUGACGCUGCCGGCCUCAGCAGCCGCCAAGAAGAGGUUCAGACGCAUCAUAGGGUGCGGCGGCGUCACCUCCCCGGCGCCACCUGACAAACCGUCCGCGACCUCCACGAAGCGUAGGUUACCCUCGAGCGCGUUCUGCUCCUGCGCCUGUAGCUGCGCGAGGGAGCUGGCGGUGGAGAGGAAGGAGAAGGUCGCCGCCGCCGCCACCGCCGCUAGGGUGCGCGCUAGCCGGAACAGCUUCACCGCGUGGGAGGCGAAGGGAAAGGCGAUCACCACAACGUGCGGCGCCGCCGUCAUCGUCUACUGUUAG